UAAGGAGGGAGGGGAGCAGUCAGAGGUCACAACCUCUGGUUCUUCUCUCCGUGUCUACUUGUUCAAUGACUCCAUCAUCUGUAACCAUAGCAACCAGGUCAGCUGGACCAGAGACAUGAGGGAGAUUCGGCCUCUCUGCUCUCUAAAUGCAGGUACUAAUCUGGGCAUACCAAUUAGCAUUGGGACCGGGGCUGCAGUUUUCUUUUGCCUUUUCCUUGGCUCCCUAAUCAUAUGAGGAAGUUAUAUGCUAAGGCUUGCUGGAUUCUACGUCCCACUCAGCCCUCAGAGUGGUCUUCAAACAUAUUGCUUAGA